rnacentral:rRNA from 1 species
UACAGAGGUCCCCAAGCGUUGUUCGGAUUCACUGGGCGUAAAGCGCGCGUAGGUGGUUGUGUAAGUUGGAUGUGAAAAGCCCCGGGCUUAACCUGGGAACUGCAUUCAAAACUGCACGGCUAGAGUACGGGAGAGGGGGGUAGAAUUCCAGGUGUAGCGGUGAAAUGCGUAGAGAUCUGGAGGAAUACCGAUGGCGAAGGCAGCCCCCUGGCCUGAUACUGACACUGAGGUGCGAAAGCAUGGGGAGCAAACAGGAUUAGAUACCCUUGUAGU